AGCGGGCACUUACAGGUUUCUAUAAGUAUAGUUCUCAUGUCUGUGUGACAAGCCUGUCUGUACACAGUGGUAUUGUCUGUACCACUGUGUUUUCUACAUUUCAGAAUGAGGUUCACAGAAACUGAGAUAGCAAGUGCAUUUUAAUUAACAAAAGAUAUACUGCUUGUAAAUAAUGGCACUAGAAUUUUUUUUAUUUUAUACAUAGGCCUAAAUAUUUUUAUUUUUAUUCUGUUUUGAAUAGUAUUCAAUUUAAAUGAUUUGAAGUGAGGGAAAAUAAAAUCUUUACAGUGUUCAUAGUUUUUAAGUUUCUUAACGUUUGUUUUAUUUAUCAGUAUUUAAAUUAUUUCUGAAAUUAAUAGUAAAAUGUGUCUUAUACACGGAUGCAACUUAUGUGUUUUUUCCUGACCUGGUGCAACUUAGCCCUAUAUUGUGCUGUAUUAUUAAACAAAUGUAUUAUUAAAAAAUGGGAACUAUUUAAAAGCCUUAAAAUCUGUUGUAAUUCUGAGGGUGUCUUUGAAAAAUCUUCUCUGCAAGGGAUCCCUGGCGCCAAAAUGUUGUAAAUGUCCAGUGCUAGUGGUCAGGCAUCCAUAUACAGCAAAGUCUGGUGUGGUAGGAGGAACUGUCCUGGUCGGCACAACAUCUAUCUGUCUUCAUGAACUGCCCUGAAACACAAAUUAAAUAUAAAUGAUUAUUAUAAAUAUAAAUAUAGCUUCACAAUGCUCAUUUGACCUCUGUGGUGAACAUAUGAUCAGAAAAUACUGCCAGACUGAUUUUUAGGCUUUAGGGAAUCAUUUUUUUUUCAAUUUAAAGUGCCUAAUUUCACAGACUCGCGUGAGCAUCCAGGAUACACGACAAAGGCUGUUUUAAUACAAGAACACUUCACACAAGAUAAAGUUUUGAAAAUCUUACAUUAUCGUUAAUGUAGUGACAGAAUGUAUUUGUAUUUGCAGUACUAAAACUAACCACUAGGUGUCAGUAGUGUUACACUCACCAGUAGAGUGUGUAGAUUACGAAUCAGAAGUUAAACUCUUGUUGCUGUUCCCGUCCUGAAAAGUAGAAAAAAUAUAAGUUCUAAAAUCGUUUCUUUAUUUGAUCAAGAAAAAUCACAGUUACCUGUUUUAGUGACCAAUUUUAAUAACUUAGUUAAAAAGGAUCAUCAUAAUUUUACCUCAGACUGUAACUUGGACCACCUCAAAUUAACCAACAGGGAUAACGUUAUGUACAAUUACAAAAAGAGGAAUUUGAAAAUAUAUAAUCUUUAUAAUCCAAAUAAAUAAUUUGAAAUAUUAAACUGAAGUAAAAUU
ensembl:lncRNA